rnacentral:rRNA from 1 species
AGGCUUAACACAUGCAAGUCGAGGGGCAGCAUGGUCUUAGCUUGCUAAGGCCGAUGGCGACCGGCGCACGGGUGAGUAACACGUAUCCAACCUGCCGUCUACUCUUGGACAGCCUUCUGAAAGGAAGAUUAAUACAAGAUGGCAUCAUGAGUCCGCAUGUUCACAUGAUUAAAGGUAUUCCGGUAGACGAUGGGGAUGCGUUCCAUUAGAUAGUAGGCGGGGUAACGGCCCACCUAGUCUUCGAUGGAUAGGGGUUCUGAGAGGAAGGUCCCCCACAUUGGAACUGAGACACGGUCCAAACUCCUACGGGAGGCAGCAGUGAGGAAUAUUGGUCAAUGGGCGAGAGCCUGAACCAGCCAAGUAGCGUGAAGGAUGACUGCCCUAUGGGUUGUAAACUUCUUUUAUAAAGGAAUAAAGUCGGGUAUGGAUACCCGUUUGCAUGUACUUUAUGAAUAAGGAUCGGCUAACUCCGUGCCAGCAGCCGCGGUAAUACGGAGGAUCCGAGCGUUAUCCGGAUUUAUUGGGUUUAAAGGGAGCGUAGAUGGAUGUUUAAGUCAGUUGUGAAAGUUUGCGGCUCAACCGUAAAAUUGCAGUUGAUACUGGAUAUCUUGAGUGCAGUUGAGGCAGGCGGAAUUCGUGGUGUAGCGGUGAAAUGCUUAGAUAUCACGAAGAACUCCGAUUGCGAAGGCAGCCUGCUAAGCUGCAACUGACAUUGAGGCUCGAAAGUGUGGGUAUCAAACAGGAUUAGAUACCCUGGUAGUCCACACGGUAAACGAUGAAUACUCGCUGUUUGCGAUAUACAGCAAGCGGCCAAGCGAAAGCGUUAAGUAUUCCACCUGGGGAGUACGCCGGCAACGGUGAAACUCAAAGGAAUUGACGGGGGCCCGCACAAGCGGAGGAACAUGUGGUUUAAUUCGAUGAUACGCGAGGAACCUUACCCGGGCUUAAAUUGCAGAUGAAUUACGGUGAAAGCCGUAAGCCGCAAGGCAUCUGUGAAGGUGCUGCAUGGUUGUCGUCAGCUCGUGCCGUGAGGUGUCGGCUUAAGUGCCAUAACGAGCGCAACCCUUGUUGUCAGUUACUAACAGGUUCCGCUGAGGACUCUGACAAGACUGCCAUCGUAAGAUGUGAGGAAGGUGGGGAUGACGUCAAAUCAGCACGGCCCUUACGUCCGGGGCUACACACGUGUUACAAUGGGGGGUACAGAGGGCCGCUACCACGCGAGUGGAUGCCAAUCCCAAAAACCUCUCUCAGUUCGGACUGGAGUCUGCAACCCGACUCCACGAAGCUGGAUUCGCUAGUAAUCGCGCAUCAGCCACGGCGCGGUGAAUACGUUCCCGGGCCUUGUACACACCGCCCGUCAAGCCAUGGGAGCCGGGGGUACCUGAAGUGCGUAACCGCGAGGAGCGCCCUAGGGUAAAACUGGUGACUGGGGCUAA